AACGUAGGGGACAAGCGUUAUCCGGAUUUACUGGGCGUAAAGCGCCCGUAGGCGGCCUGACAAGUUGGACGUGAAAGCUCCUGGCUUAACUGGGAGAGGCCGUUCAAAACUGUCAAGCUAGAGUCUGGAAGAGGAGAGCGGAAUUCCCGGUGUAGUGGUGGAAUGCGUAGAUAUCUGGAGGAACACCGGUGGCGAAGGCGGCAUCCUGGACCAACACUGACGCUGAGGAGCGAAAGCCAGGGGAGCAAACGGG
rnacentral:rRNA from 1 species